rnacentral:rRNA from 1 species
AACGAACGCUGGCGGCAUGCCUAACACAUGCAAGUCGAACGAGACCUUCGGGUCUAGUGGCGCACGGGUGCGUAACGCGUGGGAAUCUGCCCUUGGGUUCGGGAUAACAGUUGGAAACGACUGCUAAUACCGGAUGAUGACUUCGGUCCAAAGAUUUAUCGCCCAGGGAUGAGCCCGCGUAGGAUUAGCUUGUUGGUGAGGUAAGAGCUCACCAAGGCGACGAUCCUUAGCUGGUCUGAGAGGAUGAUCAGCCACACUGGGACUGAGACACGGCCCAGACUCCUACGGGAGGCAGCAGUGGGGAAGUAUUGGACAAUGGGCGAAAGCCUGAUCCAGCAAUGCCGCGUGAGUGAUGAAGGCCUUAGGGUUGU